rnacentral:rRNA from 1 species
AAUACCGGCGAGAAAUCGCCGACAAGACCGCAUAGGCUCGUCUGCUUGAAGAGAGCAGGCGAGCAAAGCUUUUUUCGCAAGAGAGAGGCGCUGCAGGAUGGGCCCGCGGCCGAUUAGCUGGUUGGUGAGGUAAAAGCGCACCAAGGCAACGAUCGGUAGCUGGUCUGAGAGGACGAUCAGCCACACUGGGAUUGAGAACGGCCCAG